GACAGAGGGUGCAAACGUUGUUCGGAAUUACUGGGCGUAAAGCGCGUGUAGGCGGCUUUGUAAGUCGGAUGUGAAAUCCCGCGGCUCAACCGUGGAAGUGCACCCGAAACUGCAAGGCUAGAGUAUCGGAGAGGAAGGUGGAAUGCUUGGUGUAGAGGUGAAAUUCGUAGAUAUCAAGCGGAACACCGGUGGCGAAGGCGGCCUUCUGGACGAUUACUGACGCUGAGACGCGAAAGCGUGGGUAGCAAACAGG
rnacentral:rRNA from 1 species